AAAAAAUGGAGCAGAUACCAUCAAAACGGGAGCAAUCGAAAAUCCUUAAGAGUAGAAACCCC
rnacentral:ncRNA from 1 species